GCUCUUAAAGUUCAUCAUCUUCAACCUUUGAAGAACUCACGUGCAACAUCAACUUCAAAUGGCCAUAUCUCCUUCAAUCUUGAUCCGAUUAACGCGAUUCUUGUGGCUACGGAACGAGCGUGGAAUCCUCUAUUGAUUGAGCCCAGAAAUUUAAGGUAAUUGGGAGCUUGUAUGAAUGAUUGUAACAAUGAUUUUGGAAGAUUAACCUUCGGCUUUCAUCAACAAUCAAGACUCAAUGAAGGGAAUAUCGACGAGGCUGGGAGCAUACGGUUCAAUAACUCAUUAUGCUUAUUUGAAGUAUUUGAAGUAGCAAGCCGUGAGUUUAUAUGUGUUUACAUUUGAAGUAUUUAAAAUGCAUUUCUUUAUACGCAAUUGUGUCAUACGGAUUGUAUAGCAUAUUUAUGAAUGCAUACGUUGCUUUAAAAUAUAGCAUUAUUU